rnacentral:rRNA from 1 species
CAAUAGCGUAUAUUAAAGUUGUUGCGGUUAAAAAGCUCGUAGUUGGAUUUCUGCCGAGGACGACCGGUCCGCCCUCUGGGUGUGUAUCUGGUUUGGCCUGGGCAUCUUCUUGGAGAACGUAGCUGCACUUGACUGUGUGGUGCGGUGUCCAGGACUUUUACUUUGAGGAAAUUAGAGUGUUUCAAGCAGGCACACGCCUUGAAUACAUUAGCAUGGAAUAAUGGAAUAGGACUUUUGUUCUAUUUUGUUGGUUUCUAGGACAGAAGUAAUGAUUAAUAGGGACAGUUGGGGGCAUUAGUAUUUAAUUGUCAGAGGUGAAAUUCUUGGAUUUAUGAAAGACUGACUACUGCGAAAGCGUUUGCCAAGGAUGUUUUCAUUAA